UGCUCAGGCAUGAGAUUUCCCAGAGAACACCACCUCGUUUUGUCCCAUGGGAGUUUUUGCUAAUAUUUUCUUUUAUAUUAUCACUCUGUUGGAAACUUUCCAUGCACUUCACGUGGAGGACCAAAGUGUCGGAAGAUUAAAGGAAUGUCUUUUUUGCCCAACCAACAUGAAUUGGGUGCUGAACUAGGCACAACUAUGCACUACUCAGAAAAAGAAAUGCCUUCUAAAGAAUGUCUGCUAGGUAGUUCUCUUAGAAAGACUGGCAGAACUGAAAAAGAGGACUGAUAAAAUAAAACUGCCUUUUGACAAAUCAUUCCAAAGAGCUGAAUUCAGCACUGUUCUCUUUCUGAGCAUCACAACCAACCAGGUUCCAUAGGCUGGCAUUUCACAACAAGGACAUCCCCAGAGCAGCUUGGGACCUCCGCAGCAUGCAUCCUCCAAA